rnacentral:other from 1 species
UAUCCUCUGCCAUGUUCGCAAUGAUCGGGAUACCUCUUGAGCCUAAUUACAUAUUGCCGGGGCUUUUGGGAGUAAAUCGCCAUGUGUGCAUGUCUGUUUAGUGCAGAAAGCCUGUUGAUGGUUUCUCUCGCCCCACCUGAACUUCUGGUUCAGAGGCAAAGAUCAAGACGACAAUGGCGGAGGCUAC